rnacentral:rRNA from 1 species
ACUCCUACGGGAGGCAGCAGUGGGGAAUAUUGCACAAUGGGGGAAACCCUGAUGCAGCGACGCCGCGUGGAGGAAGAAGGUCUUCGGAUUGUAAACUCCUGUUGUUGAGGAAGAUAAUGACGGUACUCAACAAGGAAGUGACGGCUAACUACGUGCCAGCAGCCGCGGUAAAACGUAGGUCACAAGCGUUGUCCGGAAUUACUGGGUGUAAAGGGAGCGCAGGCGGGAAGACAAGUUGGAAGUGAAAUCCAUGGGCUCAACCCAUGAACUGCUUUCAAAACUGUUUUUCUUGAGUAGUGCAGAGGUAGGCGGAAUUCCCGGUGUAGCGGUGGAAUGCGUAGAUAUCGGGAGGAACACCAGUGGCGAAGGCGGCCUACUGGGCACCAACUGACGCUGAGGCUCGAAAGUGUGGGUAGCAAACAGGAUUAGAUACCCUGGUAGUCCACACCGUAAACGAUGAUUACUAGGUGUUGGAGGAUUGACCCCUUCAGUGCCGCAGUUAACACAAUAAGUAAUCCACCUGGGGAGUACGACCGCAAGGUUGAAACUCAAAGGAAUUGACGGGGGCCCGCACAAGCAGUGGAGUAUGUGGUUUAAUUCGACGCAACGCGAAGAACCUUACCAAGUCUUGACAUCCUGCGACGCACAUAGAAAUAUGUGUUUCCUUCGGGACGCAGAGACAGGUGGUGCAUGGUUGUCGUCAGCUCGUGUCGUGAGAUGUUGGGUUAAGUCCCGCAACGAGCGCAACCC